AACUCCAAAAAAAAAAAUGGAGAGGGGAGAGAGCCGAAGCAGAGAGCAAAGGAGAAACAGAAGAAGGCUGAGGGGAGAAAGCAGAGGAGAUGAAGAAAAAGCAUAGAAGCAGAGCAAAGGGGUUUUACAGGGUUUCUAAAUUUAAUUUUUAUUUUUCUUAUUAUGAAUUUAAUGACAAUUUGAACUAGGUAUCAGAACUAAUUGUCCUUAGAUACAGCUACGAUGUAACCAUGACUAUGAACAUGAGUGUAGUACUAGCAGGUCAUCUACAAUUUAAGCACUUUUACAAAGUUAUCAAUGCUUUUAUUCAUUCAAAUUGAAACACUAUUCAAAGGUUAUCCAUGUACUCAUUACACUAGAUUCAACUUUGAUGACUUUUCAAACAUAAUUCCCUAAAUAAUUUUUAUUUCCGUAGCAACGCGCGAACAUUAAUGCCUAGUUAUAAAUUAAAUAUAAUCCCGCCAAAAUUAUAGCCCAACGGAAAAUUAUUUUUAAAUGAACAAUUUCAAGCUAUAUUCAUAUACCAUCUCCAACCGAAGAAGCUAACUAUAACUUCCUUAAUAAUUUAUUAUUUUUAAGUUUAUUCUUUAACUUUAUUGAUUACUAGAACUGAGUUGUUUGUGUCUAAGAUUUGGUUUCCAUUUAAAGUGAGUUGUUUGCCAUUAGCCAGCUUCACUCCACUCUCUCCCUCUCAAAAAUCAAGCACAUAUUAUCCGCCACGUCAGGUUAUUAGCAGGGUUCCUACAGGGCGUCGGAGUACUAGAUCUCUCUCUACGUACUGAUGGCCGAGCUCAUAACGAGGGCGUUCCUUAAGGCCGUUGCAGUUCGCGCGUAUCAAGUAUUGGACUUUGAUCGUAGGAGAGCUGUUAGCAAUCAACUGGAGCGAUUGUGGUACAAGAUUGUUACAAUAUCAUUUGUGGUUGCUAUGGCAAUGGAUCCUUUGUUCUUUUAUAUUCCAAUCAUCGAUCAGUAUAACAAAUGCCUUAGAAUGGACAAAAAGCUCUGGAAAAUUUCUCUUAUUUUCCGAUCACUCACGGAUAUCAAUGCCCUGGUGCAUUUGCUAUAUCGGCUCCGUCUGCUUUUUGAAUCUUUUAGGGUGGAAUUGGGUAGCUCACAAGUUUUCGGACUAGUACUGACAGUAGUAGCAUUAUUUGUCACCCCCUUCGGUAUUGAAGUUUUGGCUCUUCUUCCCAUCCCACAACUGCUAAUAGGAGUUGAUUUUUACAAAAUAUGGGGCUCUGGAUCUUUUCGACAGCGUAUGUCUAUUACCAAUUGUUGUCUUCUAGCUCAAUAUCCACCAAGGAUGUACAGAAUUCGCGAGUUCAAGAAAAUCAAGAAAUUUGAUAUAAAGUUUAAAACCAUGAUCUAUUUUGGUCUCUACAUUUUUACCAGUCACGUACUCGGAGCUCUUUGGUACUUUUUUUCUAUUCAGCGAGAGAUUUUAUGCUGGCAUUCUGCAUGUGUAAAUUAUAGUACAGAUCCCAAAACAUGUAUGGAUACUUUCUGUCGAACUAUUGCUUCGAGGAAUAUCACAUUUCUAAAUGAGCAUUGCUCAACAGAUAUUUUAGAUGGUGCCUCAUCAGUGCCCUAUAAUUUUGGAAUAUAUCUUGAUGCCCUAAAGACUCUCACCGUAGACGACGUAAAAUUUUCAACAAAGUUGUUAUACUGUUUUUGGUGGGGGCUCCGAAAUAUAAGUAAUUUUGGCACGAAUCUCAUGACAAGUACUUUUGUGUGGGAAAACGUGUUUGCAAUUUGUAUUUCUAUCAGUAGCUUCCUCCUACUUACAUUUGUCGCUGCAACUGCAACUGCAGGGCCGCAGAAAGAGGCAGCACCAGGCGCGCAAGAAGACCCCCUGACAGUAGUGGGCACUAAUGGCGAGAGCUUGUCAGCACCACCAAUCAUUUAGCAGCUGCAGCAACGUUCUUAAUUAUGGCCAAGAACUCCGGGCAACUCUUGCUCGGACUCAAAACCAAACUGGUUGAUAAUGGGACAACGAAGGGCCCAACUUAGAAAAUAAAAAGGAAAAGCAGAUGCAGAGCUGAACGUAAUGAAGUGAGAAGACGAAAGCAAAGCAAACAAUGAUCGUCGUCCAGUCCAAGCAGCACUCAAAAGUCAACAACUAUGGCGGUUGGUCUCGGCAACGUACUCGUCCUCGUUCGAUCAUGCAGCGGAGGUACUAGUCUGCUGCUGCGUGUGCCACUCAUUGAAGGAUCCAAUAAACCAACGACAGCACUGAAAAUCUCGACACGGACGCAAGAUUUGACUUUUAAUUUUUAAUCUACGGAAAUCUUAAUUAAACUAAUCAUUCCUGCAACUCGCAUCUUCUCACAAUAGCAAUAAAUCAGUUAUUUUUUGUGUUCUGAUUAGU